ensembl:misc_RNA
CGGCCAGUCUCACAGAACGAAGUUCUCUAUUUUUCUUGGUAAUAGGAACAGCAUGGACAACUCUCUCAUCCCGGAUAUGGCCUCAAACCUGACCUGAAGGGCCCAUAUCUAGGGUGAGAGAGUAGUUAGGUCUCCAAGGCUCAUUCAACCCUUGGCCGCU